rnacentral:rRNA from 1 species
AUACGGAGGGAGCGAGCGUUGUGCGGAAUUAUUGGGCGUAAAGCGCGUGUAGGCGGCAGGGCAAGUCGGUUGUGAAAUCCCCGGGCUCAACCCGGGAACUGCAUCCGAAACUGCUCCGCUAGAGUCCCGGAGAGGAGAGCAGAAUUCCCAGUGUAGGGGUGAAAUCCGUAGAUAUUGGGAGGAAUACCAGUUGCGAAGGCGGCUCUCUGGACGAUGACUGACGCUGAGACGCGAAAGCGUGGGGAGCAAACAGGAUUAGAAACCCGAGUAGUCC